rnacentral:rRNA from 1 species
GGGAUUAGAUACCCCACUAUGCUUAGCCUUAAACCUAGAUGUUAAAUUUACAAGCAACAUCCGCCAGGGUACUACGAGCGCUAGCUUAAAACCCAAAGGACUUGACGGUGUCUCAGACCCACCUAGAGGAGCCUGUUCUAGAACCGAUAAUCCCCGUUAAACCUCACCACCCCUUGUUUAACCAGCCUAUAUACCGCCGUCGCAAGCUUACCCUGUGAAGGUCCUAUAGUAAGCAAAAUGGGUAUACCCCAAAACGUCAGGUCGAGGUGUAGCUUAUGAGGUGGGAAGAAAUGGGCUACAUUUUCUGCACCAGAAUAAUACGAACAGCACUAUGAAAAAUAGAGCUCGAAGGUGGAUUUAGUAGUAAAAAACAAAUAGAGAGUCUUUUUGAAAUAGGCUCUGAGACGCGUACACACCGCCCC